CAAGAAACAACAGAAAAUAAACCAAAAAUAUACAGAAAAAUCAUAGAAAUAGUUUUGAAGAACACUGGUUAAACUUAAAGGCUGUUGACUAUGCAUCAUAAAUACUUGUGAAUGGUUUAACUUUCUUCUGAGCUUCAUGUCAAACUCUCAAGCUGUAAGCCUGACGCUGGAAGAUCUGAUUUACUAGGCCUAGAUCACAAAGCCCCACUACAGGUACUACAGAACUGAAAAAGAGACUGUCUGCCCCACUCUGGUUUUCAGUGUAGAAACAAAGGCCCUGCUGGUAAACUUUCUUGGAACCACAAAGGAAUAAGAAGAACAUUUGAAUAUUGACAACUAAAACAAAUGCUCACUGUAAUCCACUCUCUCAAUUGUUCAGCAUUGACACUAUUCUUCUUUUCAUAUUAGAGUUCAGAAAAGAAUCCCAUACUGUAGCAGAAGGCAACUGUGUCUCAUGUAUACUUAUACUCUUCUUCAAGGCUUAUCAACGGAGCAGUUCACAACAUGAUAUUUGCCUUCUAUCAGAAGCACAUGGGAAUGCAAAAGAGGUAAGCUAGAUGAAAGCCAGAGUCUGUUUGUAACUUAAUCCAGUAAAUGAUAUCCUAUUACUCUGCUGUGUUGCAUUCAUUAAAAGCAACACAUUAAAUCUGGCAGACACUCACGGGGAAAGAAUUACACAUAGACACUAAAUAGGAGAAAGAAGGAAUCACUGAACACUAUACUAAGAAUUAACUACCAAUAGUACUUAGAUCUAAAACCAACAGAACCCACUUUUAGAUGUGGAAAACAUAGUUUUCUCAAUGUUGUCAUUUGUUCUAAGUACAGCAUUUACUUGUACACUUUAGUUCCAGACACAGGUAAAUGGCUUUGGAGGGAAACCACAUGUAUAAUUUCCCAGUUAAGAACAAGUCUUUUUUUGUCAUUUAAGGAAGGAUCUCAAAACUAGUCACAAAACUGCAAUAAGUUAUCCUAUUAUUCUUUAUGUAAGGAAGUACAAUAUAGGAGGAAACUAGAAAAUUUGACAAAAGACCAGUGACUUCCAUGAGCACAAAAACAAUGCCUUCUUUAUUUCAUGGUAUAAAUUUAUUGUCUAUAAGAAAUGUUUUUCUGUAUAUUGGAUGAUAUAUAAAGAUAUUCAGUCCACACAUUGUGAGCUUGGCAGAGAUGUGAUAGGCAGAGAAAGUGAAUCUAAAC
rnacentral:lncRNA from 1 species